rnacentral:piRNA from 1 species
UGCCAAGCUGGUGGCAGGAACUGUGGGAU